rnacentral:rRNA from 1 species
CCUACGGGUGGCUGCAGUGGGGAAUAUUGGACAAUGGGGGGAACCCUGAUCCAGCCAUGCCGCGUGUGUGAAGAAGGCCCUCGGGUUGUAAAGCACUUUCAGUGAGGAAGAACGCCUGGUGGUUAAUACCCAUCAGGAAAGACAUCACUCACAGAAGAAGCACCGGCUAACUCCGUGCCAGCAGCCGCGGUAAUACGGAGGGUGCGAGCGUUAAUCGGAAUUACUGGGCGUAAAGCGCGCGUAGGUGGCUUGAUAAGCCGGUUGUGAAAGCCCCGGGCUCAACCUGGGAACGGCAUCCGGAACUGUCAAGCUAGAGUGCAGGAGAGGAAGGUAGAAUUCCCGGUGUAGCGGUGAAAUGCGUAGAGAUCGGGAGGAAUACCAGUGGCGAAGGCGGCCUUCUGGACUGACACUGACACUGAGGUGCGAAAGCGUGGGUAGCAAACAGGAUUAGAUACCCUAGUAGUC